GCGGCAGACGGGUGAGUAACGCGUGGGAAUCUACCUUUUGCUACGGAAUAGCUCCGGGAAACUGGAAUUAAUACCGUAUGUGCUCUUUGGCGGUGGACGCUGGAGAGGAAAGAUUUAUCGGCAAAGGAUGAGCCCGCGUUGGAUUAGCUAGUUGGUGGGGUAAAGGCCUACCAAGGCGACGAUCCAUAGCUGGUCUGAGAGGAUGAUCAGCCACAUUGGGACUGAGACACGGCCCAAACUCCUACGGGAGGCAGCAGUGGGGAAUAUUGGACAAUGGGCGCAAGCCUGAUCCAGCCAUGCCGCGUGUGUGAUGAAGGCCUUAGGGUUGUAAAGCACUUUCACC
rnacentral:rRNA from 1 species